UACAGAGGUCUCAAGCGUUUGUUCGGAUUCAUUGGGCGUAAAGGGUGCGUAGGCGGCGCGGUAAGUCGGGUGUGAAAUCUCGGAGCUUAACUCCGAAACUGCAUUCGAUACUGCCGUGCUUGAGGACUGGAGAGGAGACUGGAAUUUACGGUGUAGCGGUGAAAUGCGUAGAUAUCGUAAGGAAGACCAGUGGCGAAGGCGGGUCUCUGGACAGUUCCUGACGCUGAGGCACGAAGGUCAGGGGAGCAAAACGGG
rnacentral:rRNA from 1 species